ensembl:lncRNA
ACACACACACACACACACACACACACACACACACACACACACACACACACACACACACACACACACACACACACACACACACACACACACACACACACACACACACACACACACACACAAAAAAAAUAUAUUUUUUGGCAUUUUGCCUUUAUUGGGUAGCGAUAGUGAAGACAGACAGGAAAGCGGAUAGAAGACAUGGAAGGAAGACAUGCAGCAAAGGGCCACAGGUCGGACUGACUGUAACUGGUGCGUUUCUUAAUUGCUUUUGUUUUAGAUCAGGGUUCCCAGUGUGCAGUUUGCCAAGCAAGUGCUGCAACAAUUAAAAACAAAAAACAACAAAAAUAAUACAUUCCCAUAAAGGGAGUCAUCAACCAUAGAAAAUAAUCACGUUUAAUCACAGAAUGUUUUGAUUGUUUAGAAACCUACCUACUGAUUGUGUACUUCAAAAAUAAGAAUAGGAGAUUAGCGUUCUGUGUAAUUUCAUUAUUAUUAACGUAUGUUUUUCUAGUUAAGAUUUCUCAGCCAUUUCAAUUGGUUGGAAUGGACCUUCUUGGGAAACUUAGAAACCAAAAGGGGACAUCAGUACAUUUGUGUUUUCAUUGGCUACUUCAAAAUACCAACACGGAUCCCCACUGAAGUCUAAAUCAGCAAAGGAAGUGACAAACUGAUCAAAUUUGUCCAUCAGUUUGAAGCACCUAACAGGGUUCUUAGUGAGCAAGGAAAAGAAUUUGUCAAUUCACUCAAAAGGUUAUGCAGAAUGUUACACAGAAGAAACCUCUGCUCCCCAUAUCACCCACAAACAAAUGGCUCAGUAGAGAGAAUGAAUGGCACCAUCCAGAGAGCCCUCUGUAAGGUUGUUGGUGACCAUCCAGAAACAUGGGAUGACUAUCUGGAUGUUGUGAUGUUUGGUCUCAGAACAAAAAAGCAAAUGACCACUGAAAUACUCACCCCAUUACCUGAUUUUUGGCAGAGAGGCUCGUUAUCCAUAUGAAAUCCCAGAACAUUACAUGGUCUUUCUGUCUGUGACAGACUACAGGAAAAUCCUACGCAAAGCACCUUAGUAAGUUUUUGAUGCACAGGCAGAACAGUUUGAAUGCAUGCUACAUCACCACCUUAAAAGCAACAAUAGUAUCAGAUCCAGGGGUCAGAAGCUACAGCAAAGGAAGAAAACGCCACCAGAACCAGCACGCGCUGCAGGUCCACAAGCCAAAUCACAAACAGCAGCAGACCCAGCCUCACAGACCACAGCAGCAGACCUCGAUCCAAAAGCUACAACUCCACCAGCAACUACUCCCCAGGUUGUAGCACCACCAGCAUCAACUACUCCUAAGUAAUCUACAGCACAAACUGUAGAAGCAACAGUACUACCAGUGACAGCAGCAACAGCCUUACAAGCUACCCCCUGCACCACCUCCAGCAUCAUCACCUCAAAGAUAUACUCAAGCUGUUGCAGAGAAAUGUAAAAAAAGAAAAAGAAAAUAACAAUUUUGUGAUUUGCUUAAAAAGCCCUUUAUUCCUAUGAUACUCUGUUACAUUACUCUUUAGAUCAUGGCACAGGAUAUUUUACACAAUUUCCCUGUUGGUUUAGGUAUAUUAUUCAAAAGACUUAAAAUUCAAUACUCUGUUAAUGCAUUUUCAAAAAAUAUACCUUCAUCAAGCAAGGCUGUAACUCACAUGUGUCACGUGACAUAAAUAAUUGAUUCUUUCAACAACAACAACAAAAACAACAACAAAAAAAAAGAGUCAUAUUUCUUUGUUAUUGUGUAAACCAGAAUGUUCAGAAUUGACAUUGUACUUAUAAUGUACACUACCAGUUAAAAGUUUGGACACCUUCCCAUUCAAAGUUCUGUUUUCAUGGCUACUUGCAUUGUAGAUUCUCACUGAAGGCAUCAAAACUAUGAACGAACCCAUAUGGAACCCUAACCUGAUCAUAUAGUAAAGAAAAAAGUAUAAAAUAAAAAGAGGUUUUGUGUCUUAGUCUUCAAAAUAGCCACCCUUUGCUUUGCACACCCUUUGCCUUCUCAGUAAGCUUCAUAAAGUAGUCACCUGAAAUGGUUGUCACUGCACAGGUGACACACAAAGCAGAGGUGACUCUUGGCCUUCCUUUCCUGGGAUGGGCCUCAUGUGAGCCAGUUUCAUUGUAGCGCUUGAUGGUUUUUGCAACUACAGUUUGGUUGUCUUUGGGGAUCAGGACCGUCUGGGUAGUGAUGUGUCCUGUGUGUCGAAGCUUCAAAGCGUGUCGGGUAAUCUCGGGGGAGUUUUUGUGAAGUGUGUACAGAGGCUUGCUUUGAUUACGUAUGCAGUGACGUUCGAGGCCUCGCGGGCAGCCCGUACCACAUGACUGAUUCAGGAACUGGCUCGCCAGUUUCCAAAUAAAAUGGGUAACAAAACACAGCUGAUUCCCCCAUCACAUUGUUUUGUGGAAUUGGAUUACGUACAUGUUACAUAGUUACUCGAGCAUUUCUUCUUCGAUGGAACCAGCAAGGAAGAGAAGAUUUCCCCUGUCUGGCAACACUGAUCUCAUCUCUCCUAAUAAGGUGAAGUGUUUGUUGUGCUCCAAAGAACUUGGAUACAGCAACAACACCUCAACUAUGCUGAGGCAUUACAGAGCCCUGUGUGAAAACAAGGAGACUAUCCAAGGUGGACCAAGCUCAGGGGAGAGGAAUGAUAUGGAUGAGGCAUUGGUCAACAUGGUGAUAGAUUCCCAGCCCUUCACUAUUGUGGAGGACAGUGGGUUUAGAAAGCUUGUUAAAGCUUUGAACCUUAACUGUUCUCCCCACAAGGCAGGCUUUGAAAGCUAUGGUGGACCAAAGAUACAAAGAGUCCAAACAAAAAGAAAAACUGACUGUGGCAAAGGCUUCUGUAGUUAGUUUGACAUCUGAUAUGUGGACCUCCAUUAACACAGAGGGUUUCCUAGCUGUCACCUGCCAUGUCAUUGAUUCUAACACUGCAUUGCAUUCUGUAGUGUUAGGUGUUCAGCACUUCCCUAAAGCACAUACUGCUAUCAAUUUGUCCCAAGUAACAGCAGCGCUCAUGUCAGAGUGGGGAAUUACAGACAAAGUUACAUGUUAUGUGACUGAUGGAGCAGCAAACAUGGGUGCUUGUGCAAAGGAGCUUUGUUUGCAUCACAGUAAUUGUGUGGCGCAUACAUUGAACCUAAUGGUCAAAAAAAGCUCUUGAUCAACACACCGCGCUGUCUGAGAUCCAGACCACCUGUAGGAGGACCGUGGGAUAUUUCAAGAGCAGUGCAACUGCUAAGGAGAGGCUGACAGAGGUGCAAGAGCAAAUGGGCCGGCCUCCACUGAAGUUAAUUCAAGAGGUGGAUACAUGUUGGAACAGCACAUUCCAAAUGCUUCAAUGUAUUCAUGAGCUCAGGGAACCUAUUGGAGCAUCGUUAGCUGGCCUGCACACUGAUAUUUGCCCACUAUCCUCUGAACAGUAUGACCUUAUGGCAGAAUGUCUCAAAAUGCUCUCCCCAUUUAAUGAUGCCACCACUGAGCUGUCAGAGGAAAAGAGUGUCUGAAUCCAAAGUAAUUCCACUUCUAACCAUGUUGCACCAUGCACUAAAUUAAGAGGAAAUGGGAGUUGUCCUAACUCCAGAGAGGUCCACCAUGGUUGAGUGUCUGAGGAGACAAUUAAAGGAGAAGCUCUACAUGUUGCAGUCAAUGAGCAUCAUGUCACUGGCAACAUUGCUGGAUCCAAGGUUUAAAAAAAAAAAAAAAAAAAAAAAAAAAAAAAAGAGGCUUCUUUAGCCCCAAUAAAGCACUGGAUGCUGAGAGGAGACUCAUUUUUGAGUGUGCUGCUGCUUUGCAGCACUUGGCAGCCUCUCAGCCUGUGACUUAAGGUGUAUGAGCACAUUUUGAUUAUUUUAUUGUAUUUAGUUACUUACAUCCUGUUUGUUUUAAGCUAUGUCCACGCUAGCCCGGAUAGAUUUGAAAAAGGCGUUUGUCUGAAAACGCUCUGCGUCCACACUAGCCUCUUCAGUUGUUUUCAAAGAGUUGCGCGUCCACACUAAAACAGCCAAAAAAAACAAAAAAAACCUGACGUUGCAGUUCGUGAAACGCAAGACGACUCAACCUGCGUCAUUUCCCAUUUUCCGGCUCUUUUGGAUGACAUCACACGUCUGGAUUACCAGCUUCCAAGGCACCAAGAGUGUGCAUGUCAUCUAGGGCUGCCACAAACGAUUAUUUUGAUAGUCGACUAGUCACCGAUUAUUUUUGCGAUUAGUCGACUAAUCGGAUCAUGCAUCCAUUGGACGUAAAACGUACAGCUUAUUGCACCAGCAGCAUCUGCUCUUAUAUAACAUUAGCUUACAGUUUUAAGUGUUUAGGGUAUGUGCUAACUAAAAAUAAAGACAAGAUGAUAGUUUAUUAAAUUUAAUGAGAUUUACAGAUUGUUUCGGUAAAGUUUAAUAAACUCCUUGCUAUCUAAAAUAUAACGGGACACCGGAGUAUAUUCUCGAACAUCU